CUGGCUUGUUCUAAUUCUAUGCUCAAGAUUGUAUCCUUAACCAAUUGUUUCUAAUGACUGGGAGUGUUGCUCCCCAAUUAAAGUUUGAACUCUCUUCACAGAANNCUCUUCUAGUUUCUGUAGUAGCAUUAGGCUCCCUGAAUGAGGAAGCAGAUCAUGCUUGAGAGAUUUUGAUGGAGACAUCCAAGGUGAUGCUGGGUGACCUAUCCUCAAAGUAGGAAUGUCUUCAAUUGUGGAAACUCGU
rnacentral:misc_RNA from 1 species